rnacentral:rRNA from 1 species
GAUGAACGCUGGCGGCGUGCCUAAUACAUGCAAGUCGAGCGAACAGACGAGGAGCUUGCUCCUCUGACGUUAGCGGCGGACGGGUGAGUAACACGUGGAUAACCUACCUAUAAGACUUGGAGAACUUCGGGAAACCGGAGCUAAUACCAGAUAAUAUAUUCAACCGCAUGGUUCAAUAGUGAAAGACGGUUUUGCUGUCACUUAUAGAUGGAUCCGCGCCGCAUUAGCUAGUUGGUAAGGUAACGGCUUACCAAGGCGACGAUGCGUAGCCGACCUGAGAGGAUGAUCAGCCACACUGGAACUGAGACACGGUCCAGACUCCUACGGGAGGCAGCAGUGGGGAAUAUUGCGCAAUGGGCGCAAGCCUGACGGAGCAACGCCGCGUGAGUGAUGAAGGUCUUCGGAUCGUAAAGCUCUGUUAUUAGGGAAGAACAACUGUGUAAGUAAAUAUGGCCGUCUUGACGGUACCUAAUCAGAAAGCAACGGCUAACUACGUG